rnacentral:rRNA from 1 species
GUGUCAGCAGCCGCGGUAAGACGAACCACACAAACGUUAUUCGGAAUUACUGGGCUUAAAGGGUGCGUAGGCUGUGCGGAAAGUUGGGUGUGAAAUCCCCCGGCUCAACCGGGGAAUUGCGCCCAAAACUACCGUGCUUGAGGAAGACAGAGGUGAGCGGAACUUCGGGUGGAGCGGUGAAAUGCGUUGAUAUCCGAAGGAACACCGGUGGCGAAAGCGGCUCACUGGGUCUUUUCUGACGCUGAUGCACGAAAGCUAGGGGAGCAAACGGGAUUAGAUACCCUCGUAGUCC